rnacentral:lncRNA from 1 species
CGCCCCUCUGAAAUUGCCCCGCCCCGAUUUUUUUUAUUUUAUAAAAUUUACGAUUUCCGGAUUUUGUUCAUUCCCGUUACCGGUAACCGUUAAAAUUUCGUUUCAUUCAAUGCUUCCUGUUUCAAAUUUCGGUUUUGUACCUCGAGUUAAUCUAACCAAAAUGAUUAAGUCGACCUUUCCGCUGCUCUAUGAUGACAACAUCAUCUUCCGAGAGUAAAGAUUGAUAACGAUAAUGACAUGAAAUAUUGGUGUUACGAGAAAAACGCUGUUUCCAAGACUGCAAAUCGCGGUAUGUCACAAAUUUCUGUGAUUAGAAAACUGCGGACUUUUUUAUUUAUGCAAUGACUUUGUCUCAGGAAAUUUAAACUGUAAAUGAUACCCAAAGCACAUGAUUCGUGGAAACCAU